GUAGCGGGUGGGGAGCCCUCGGCUCAGUCCGAGUCCCGGCACUGCGGUGUUGCGGCCCCGGAGGAGGUGGGACAAUGGCAGUUGUGCCAGUCCGGGCGCUGCACCCCCCCCUUCCCGGAACUCUAACCGUAUCCCCAGAUAGAGGGAUGGGAACACAUUUGCUUUUCCAGUAAAACGAAACGGACAGAUUGUGAAGACGCGGACAAACCUCGCGUUAAUAUUCGAAUCAGUCAGUGUCUCCAUUGGCACAGAUCACACCCCCAUCUUUUAAUACCUCCGUCCGCCCCGUGUCCCCUCAUUUACUAGACUCGUCCUCUUCCAGGCCUGGUGCUCGGCGCUUCUAAGAGGAGUAGGGUCACAGAACAACAGCGCUACCGAGACCCCUGGGGUACGCGAGGCAGGGGGAUUCCGCCCCUUUGGAAGGUGGCCGAGACCCUCAGGCACUAAAGGACUUCGUCGAGACAGGAGAGCCCUCAGAGAUCGGCAGAGAUCGUCCUCUUCUGGAUAACCAGAGUCCACAAUCAAACCUUAAAAUAACCCUUUUGGGGGCGCUGUUCCCUUUAGCAAACUCUGGAAAAUGUACACAAUCUUGUGCACAACACGAGAGUUACGGACCUGGGUUAAGGAAGGUUGUUUUCUUUUGUUCCCCCUUGGUGACAUCACUUAAACCCAGCUCUCUCUUCGUUGAUAUGACUUUUCUGUGCAUGAGGCUAGGUUGAGAGACAAUGAAGCUAGGCUUGGUACCAGCUCAUUCUCAGCAGCCAUCAUGCCCGGCCUAGUCUUGUUCCCUGGCCUGUUUCCAUUUUUCCAGCUCUGUUGGCUCCUGACGUUGGCUUUGUGUCCAGUUUUCCAGUGUGACCCUGACGUUUGGAGUUGGCAGCGACACUUUAUUUCCCUAACUUUGAUCUUCAGCAUUAGUCUUCAUUCUCCUCAGCCCCACCUCAUCAGCUUUUCUCCAUCCUGGUCAUCUACCUUCCCUCAGUUGAUCCUACCUGGCCUACCUGACCAUGCCAUCCCUUUCGACAAAGAUAUUCACACAGGAAGAGAUCUGGGCUACCUUGGAGAAGAAGCCAAAGAGCCAGUGAGAUAUUUGUGAAGCCAUGAAAGCCAUCUUCCCUAGAGUUGCCUGUCACUUCUCUCUCCUCAGGGAGACAUGUCAGUCAGUUCCUAGAGAAACUGCUCCUUAUCACAACCCUCAGCUGUCAGGUUUCCCUGGCACCCAGAGGGGACUGAGCCAGCAGCUGACCUGAAAACAGUGAGUCUGCUGACUGUCCAGCGACCAUUUUCCUCUAUUGAGAAUUUUAACCAAGUGUCUGGUGUCUGCAGUUAUUUGAUAUUAGCUGUGGACCCACAGUCACACAAGGCUGAAGGACAGCACAGAAGAGGCAGUACAUCUUAACAAAAUCAGGGUUCUGGAAGAAGGGAGAGGUGGUGAAUGGUUGUUGCAAGCAAUCAACAGUUCAUACUUCAAUGGAAAGAAGGUGGGAUUUGAUUCCUUGUCGCAAAUCUUCACUCUGUCACCUGCUAUCUGUGUGUCCUCAGUAAACAUCUAGAGGCUAGGAAUGCCUAACUUUCUGGGAAUUCAGUCCAGCAACUCUCAGCCUCAUUUUCCUAGCCCUCACUCAAAAUGGAGUCUCUCUGGUUCGAAUGCCUCUGACAAAACCAUCACUACAAUCAAGGUAAUAUAGUAAUAUAGUAAACAUAUCCAUCACCCCAAAUGUUUCCUCAUGGCCCUUUGUAACCCUUCCCUCUUACUCCUUCCUGCCCGUACAUCCCCCCACUCCCUGUACCUAGGCAAUCUGCUUUCUGUCACUAUAGUUCAGUUUAUACUUUGCAGAAUUUUAUAUAACUGGGAUCAUACAGUACAUAAUCUUUUUGAU